rnacentral:rRNA from 1 species
AUACAGAGGGUGCGAGCGUUAAUCGGAAUUACUGGGCGUAAAGCGCGCGUAGGCGGCUUAUUAAGUCAGAUGUGAAAUCCCCGGGCUCAACCUGGGAACUGCAUCUGAUACUGGUAAGCUAGAGUUUGGGAGAGGGAAGUAGAAUUUCAGGUGUAGCGGUGAAAUGCAUAGAGAUCUGAAGGAAUACCAGUGGCGAAGGCGACUUCCUGGCCUAAAACUGACGCUGAGGUGCGAAAGCGUGGGUAGCAAACGGGAUUAGAAACCCCGGUAGUCC